ensembl:lncRNA
UAUCAAUGUAAGUAUGUAAAAUAUUUAUUUAGAAACAAAUAACAAAAUAAAUCAACAUAAAGAAAUAACACUAGGCACAAAAAAGAUAUACAUCAAUGCACCAGGUUACUAAUGACUCACGUUCCCUGACAGUGUUGAUUGUUUUUGUCUGCCACACGCUCAGUUGUCUGUCACAAAUGUGAAUCUAUAACUACGAAGAAGUAUAAAAGUUUAAUACUAAAAUACAGAACCAGAAUACAAAAAGGUCUAACUACUGCAAUGCAACAUUGGUUAAGCUGUCUCAGUAUCUUGAACCAUUACAAUCCUGUUCAUCCUGUGUCAACAAAAGGAAUCGGUUUGAAUUCCAGCAAAAUAACUAUUGAGAAUGAAACUAUUGAUAAGAUAUGAGAAUGUAGAAGGUAAGAGUCAAGAAGUGAAAUUAUGUAGCCUACAAAUUCAAAUAAACUGCAGUACAUUUGGCAUAGUCCAAAUUCUGUGAUCCAUGCAAACAAUAAACAUGAGGUUUGCAUAAAAUAUUGUUAACCCCAAACUUUUUUUAAAAGUCUGAAAUGACAGUGACAAGAAAAUAGCCAUCCAAUUGGCCACAAAACUUCAUUUAAUGUUUUUUAAUGACAAAGUCUUGCAAUGUUGACCGUGAGGCCUGAGGUAGAGGAGGAUACUGUCAGAUAUAUUGGCUCAGUCAUUUAAGAAUAUAAACAAUAACUACGAUAAAAAAUAACCAUAUUAUGAACUGCCCAACCUUACCACAAUAAGGUCAAAUUCUGCAUUCGAAAAUAACAAUUUUGUUAUGAAAAAGGUUAUCAUAAACAAAACAAAAUGAAAUUCUACACAGACUAUAUUUCCAUGGGAAACAAGUUACAAGAAUCAGAUUGUCAACAGUCCUCACUCCACUCCUCCAUUCCUUAACUGGAGGCAAUACAAACUAGUCUUGGGAUAGCCGCUUGAAUUUCCUCUGAAACUCCUGGAAGGCAGUGGAGGAAGACUUGGGGAUUUUAGUGGGCGAAGAGGUGAGAGGACAAUAUCUCUUCUGAGGGCCAGCAGACCAUAAACCUACUGGGAGUGUAAUAGUUCAAUUGUUACAAUAAAUAAAACACCUCACAUUUGACAGAAAGGAAUAAAGAGAGAUCGGGAACUGCAUAGAUACACUACCGUUCAAAAGUUGGGGGUCACUUAUAAAUGUCCUUGUUUUUGAAAGAAAAGCACAUUUUGAGCAUUAAAAUAACAUCAAAUUGAUCAGAAAUACAGUGUAGACAUUGUUAAUGUUGUAAAUAACUAUUGUAGCUGGAAACUGAUUUUCAAUGGAUUUUUUACAUAGGUGUACAGAGGCCCAUUAUGUGCAACCAUCACGCACGCCUGUGUUCCAAUGGCACAUUGUGUUAGCUAAUCCAAGUUUAUCAUUUAAAAAAGGCUAAUUGAUCAUUAGAAAACCCUUUUGCAAUUAUGUUAGUACAGCUGAAAACUGUUGUGCUGAUUAAAGAUGCAAUUAAACUGGCCAUCUUUAGACUAGUUGAGUAUCUGGAGCAUCAGCAUUUGUGGGUUCGAUUAAAUCAAAUCAAAUUUAUUUAUAUAGCCCUUCGUACAUCAGCUGAUAUCUCAAAGUGCUGUACAGAAACCCAGCCUAAAACCCCAAACAGCAAGCAAUGCAGGUGUAGAAGCACGGAAUACAGGCUCAAAAUGGCCAGAAACAAAGGAUUUUCUUCGGAAACUCGUCAGUCUAUUCUUGUUCUGAGAAAUCAAGGCUAUUCCAUGCGAGAAAUUGCCAAGAAACUGAAGAUCUGGAACAAGGCUGUGUACUACUCUCUUCACCGAGAUACCCAAACUGGCUCUAACCAGAAUAGAAAGAGGAGUGGGUGGCCAGGUGCACAACUGAGCAAGUGGACAAGAACAUUAGUGUCUAGUUUGAGAAAAAGAUGCCUCACAAGUCGUCAACUGGCAGCUUCAUUAAAUAAUACCCACAAAACACCUGACUCAUAAGUCAACAGUGAAGAGGCGACUCCUGGAUGCUGGCCUUCUAGGCAGAGUUCCUCUGUCCAAUGUCUGUGUUCUUUUGCCCAUCUUAAUCUUUUAUUGGCCAGUCUGAGGUAUGUUUUUUUAAAUUUGCAACUCUGCCUAGAAGGCCAGCAUCCCAGGAUUGCUUCUUCACUGUUGACGUUGAGACUGGUGUUUUGCGGGUACUAUUUAACUUCUUGGUGACAGGAGGGCAGUAUUGAGUAGCUUGGAUGAAUAAGGUGCACAGAGAAAACUGCCUGCUACUCAGUCCCAGAUGCUAAUAUAGUAGUAUUGGAUAGAAAUAUAAUAUUAGUAGUUUGGAUAGAAAACACUCUGAAGUUUCUAAAACUGUUUGAAUCAUGUCUGGGAGUAUAACUUAACUUAUUUAGCAGGCGAAACCCAGAGGAAAAACCAUUCAGAUUUGUUUAGAUUUUUUGGGGUCACUCCCUUUUCAAUGGAUUUUCAUUGGGAAUCCAGAUUUCUAAGGGACCUUCUUGCAGUUCCUAUUGCUUCCACUGGAUGUCAACAGUAUUUAGAAAUUGGUUGAGGUUAUUCUUUUGUGAAAUGAAGAAGUACGGCCAUCUUGAACGAGGGUCACUUGAAGUGUACUGUUAGAUAGGAGGCACGUGACCAGAAAGCUAGCUAAAGUUUGUUUUACUGCCGGUAUUUUAUCGAUUAUUUACGUAAAAAAAUACCUAAAGUUGUAUUACAAAAGUAGUUUGAAAUGUUUUGGCAAAGUUUACAGGUAACUUUUGAGAUAUUUUGUAGUCACGUUGCGCAAGUUGGAACCGGUGUUUUUCUGGAUCAAACGCGCCAAAUAAAUUGACAUUUUGGAUAUAUAUCAAUGGAGUUAAUGGAACAAAAGGACCAUUUGUGAUGUUUAUGGGACAUUUUUUAUUUAAAAAAAUGUAUUUUACCUUUAUUUGACUAGGCAAGUCAGUUAAGAACAAAUUCUUAUUUUCAAUGACGGCCUAGGAACAGUGGGUUAACUGCCUGUUCAGGGGCAGAACGACAGAUUUGUACCUUGUCAGCUCGGGGGUUUGAACUUGCAACCUUCCGG